rnacentral:misc_RNA from 1 species
GUGAAUCAUCAAAUUUUUGAACGUAAAUUGCACUUCUUGGUAUUCCGAGGAGUACACAUGCUUGAGGGUCAGUUAAAAAAAAUCGUACAUCAUUGAUGUUGCGGAACUGGGUAUCCGAUUUUAUAAAUUGGUUACCUAAAAUUAAUAUGGAUGUAAUGUGAAGCGUACUAAUUGUGUAGUCGCUAAUCAUUUAUACUUACAUUAUACAAUUAAGAAUUUAGUUGUUGGUGAAUAAAUUAUGAAUGACCUCAAGUCAUGUGAGAUUACCCGCUGAACUUAAGCAUAUCAAUAAGCGGAGGA